GAUGAAGAACGCAGCGAAAUGCGAUACGUAAUGUGAAUUGCAGAAUUCAGUGAAUCAUCGAAUCUUUGAACGCACAUUGCGCUCUCUGGUAUUCCGGAGAGCAUGCUUGUUUGAGUAUCAGUAAACACCUCAACUCCUUUAUUGUAGUUGGACUUGAGCUAUCCCAACAGGACUUUUUGUUCCUGGCGGGAGGCUUGAAAUGCAGGUGCAGCUGGACUUUCUUCUGAGCUAUAAGCAUAUCUAUUUAGUCUGCCUAAAAAACAGAUUAUUACCUUUGCUGCAGCUAACAUAAAGGAGACUAGUUCUUGUGCUGACUGAUGCAGGAUUCACAGAGACAGCUUCGGCUGACUUUGUAAACUCGAUCUCAAAUCAAGUAAGACUACCCGCUGAACUUAAGCAUAUCAAUAAGCGGAGGA
rnacentral:misc_RNA from 1 species